CCGGAAUCUUUAGCAAUACUGUGGCCACCUUGUCCCGGGCUCGUCAGGGGCUGGGCUUGGCAUUUGGCUGUACCUCCCAGGCAGCCGGUGUCCCUUGUUCUCCAGGCUCCCCUGUUGCCUGGCAACAGCGUUGGCUGCUGCGUAUUUUCUGACCAUGGCAGCUCCACUCACCCACUUUACCUGCCGGCCCAGAAUGGUACAAUCCUUGGAAAAAAUGAAGAAAUAGUGCUUCUCAGACUUCAGUGAGCACAUGGACCACCUAAAGAUCUUGCCAAAAUGGAAACCCUGAACCAACUUCAGAGGGCAGGAUGGGAGACAGAGAUGGAAAUGAGAAAGCAGGAAGGAAAAGUACUGAGAAGACUGGCUUUCUAGAAUGCAUCAUGUUGUUAUGCUGUGAACAAUGGGAACCUCUUCAGUAAAUAAACUUUAAACAACAGAAUAAAUGCAAAUGACAUGACAAAUUAUUGGCCCAAUUCAGAUGAUGGAGAAGAGACUGCACCUGUUGAUCCAUGGGCGGUACAGGUAUCUAUUCUACUGCUUCUCUCAGUUGUCACCCAACUGGAGAACGAAAACAAAACAAAAGCCAAGAAGAGAACUGAACUAUAUACUUAGCAUACCCAGUCACAUUUCAAAUAUAAGGUUUUCACAGGUCACAUAAAAGAAAACCUUUAUUUUACUAAAAAGAUACACAGCACAUAACACAUAUGCUUUACCUCCCUACCCCUUUUCUGCUGUAGGUUUUAGUUAGCAGAAAAAAAAAUCAAAUAAAGGAAAAUUCAAGUCAGAAAGAACACAAUGUGAGAUGUUCCGAAUUUCGUGAGAUUUAUCAGAAAAUUAGGAAAAACAUAAAAUUUAUUUAAAGCAUUUAUACUUGAUAAACCAAAAAUUCAUCAGAAAGCUCAGAGAGCCUAUUAAAUUUAGGAGAAUACUACCCUUGUUUCUCAGUCCA